rnacentral:rRNA from 1 species
AACGAACGCUGGCGGCAUGCCUAACACAUGCAAGUCGAACGAGACCUUCGGGUCUAGUGGCGCACGGGUGCGUAACGCGUGGGAACCUGCCCUUAGGUUCGGAAUAACUCCCCGAAAGGGGUGCUAAUACCGGAUAAUGUCUUCGGACCAAAGAUUUAUCGCCUUUGGAUGGGCCCGCGUUGGAUUAGCUAGUUGGUAGGGUAAAAGCCUACCAAGGCGACGAUCCAUAGCUGGUCUGAGAGGAUGAUCAGCCACACUGGGACUGAGACACGGCCCAGACUCCUACGGGAGGCAGCAGUGGGGAAUAUUGGAAAAUGGGCGAAAGCUUGAUAAAGCAAUGCCGCGUGAAUGAUGAUGGCGUUAGGGUUGUAAAGCUCUUUUACCCGGGAUGAUAAUGACAGUACCGGGAUAAUAAGCACCGGCUAACUCCGUG